CACAGGAUGUUUGGCCUUGCUCAAGUCUCUUUAUUUCCAUCAGCCUCCAUUUUGAUAUUUUUAAAAUAAUACUGCUAAAAAUCACCCAUCACGACUGGUAUACCUUGUCAACACGCACAGAAGGAAGAAUGCUACUGGACCUAAAAAUUACACUCUGGUUAGCAGAAGGAACUAAGAACAUGACACAGAAAGAGAUGGGCUAGACAUCUUUAACACCUGAAAGGUAAUCAUAGAGAAGGCCAGGACAAGUCCAGUUGUAGAGGGCAGAACCAAGCAACUGUUACAGAAAGGUCAUCUUCAGUUCAAUGAGGAGGAAU